CGGUUGCCCGCGGUCUUACCGUCGUUGGUAGCACAAUUGUCUCGCUGUUUUGUAUUUCGCUAGCUCCGUUGAUGCUAUGCAUCGAUGGCGGCCGAGAUGUUGGCAAAUUCCAUGCGCUGCGAUGCACUUUGUGCGUUGGAACUGCUUAUCGGAUGUUUGCCGGGUCUCACGGAUAUCAGUCCCUACGUUGAGUGGUCUGUGGGCUUCAAGCCUGCAGGCUCAUGGUGUUGCCCAUACAAAUAAAUUUGUUGCUGAUGGAUGUUUCCUCGACAUGUCGCGUUCUUUCGGGAUUCAUGUUGAGGGAUCUCACUCAGCACAUGUUUGUGUGUAUGUGCAUAUCCUUUACCGACCCUAAUGAUAUGCGAUUGCCAUGCAUUGUCAUGGCACC
rnacentral:misc_RNA from 1 species